GCGUGGGAAUCUACCCAUCCCUACGGGAUAGCUCCGGGAAACUGGAGAUAAUACCGUAUACGUCCUCCGGGAGAAAGAUUUAUCGGGGAUGGAUGAGCCCGCGUUGGAUUAGCUAGUUGGUGGGGUAAUGGCCUACCAAGGCGACGAUCCAUAGCUGGUCUAAGAGGAUGAUCAGCCACAUUGGGACUGAGACACGGCCCAAACUCCUACGGGAGGCAGCAGUGGGGAAUAUUGGACAAUGGGCGCAAGCCUGAUCCAGCCAUGCCGCGUGAGUGAUGAAGGCCCUAGGGUUGUAAAGCU
rnacentral:rRNA from 1 species